AUUGAACGCUGGCGGCAGGCCUAACACAUGCAAGUCGAACGAGUGGCGGACGGGUGAGUAAUGUCUGGGAAACUGCCCGAUGGAGGGGGAUAACUACUGGAAACGGUAGCUAAUACCGCAUACUAUCGGAUGUGCCCAUAUGGGAUUAGCGAGAAGGUGGGGUAACGGCUCACCUAGGCGACGAUCCCUAGCUGGUCUGAGAGGAUGACCAGUCACACUGGAACUGAGAGACGGUCCAGGCUCCUACGGGGUGCAGAAGUGGGGAGUAUUGCACAAUGGGCGCAAGCCUGAGGCAGCCAUGCCGCUUGUAUGAAGAAGGCCUUCGGGUUGUAAAGUACUUUCAGCGAGGAGGCGUUGCUCGCAUAAGAACCACCGGCUAACUCCGUGCCAGCAGCCGCGGUAAUAC
rnacentral:rRNA from 1 species